rnacentral:rRNA from 1 species
UACGGAGGAUGCAAGCGUUAUCCGGAUUCAUUGGGUUUAAAGGGUGCGUAGGCUGGCGCUAUAAGUCAGGGGUGAAAAGCAUAGGCUCAACUUAUGCACUGCCUUUGAUACUGUAGGCCUAGAGUGCAAAUGAGGUUGGCGGAAUGUGUAGUGUAGCGGUGAAAUGCAUAGAUAUUACACAGAACACCGAUAGCGAAGGCAGCUAACCAAGAUGCAACAGACGCUGAGGCACGAAAGCGUGGGGAUCAAACAGGAUUAGAUACCCUGGUAGUCCACGCUGUAAACGAUGAUUACUCGCUGUUGGCGAUACACAGUCAGCGGCCAAGCGAAAGCGUUAAGUAAUCCACCUGGGGAGUACGAUCGCAAGAUUGAA